rnacentral:tRNA from 1 species
GGCCUGGUGGUGAAUCGGAAGCACCAAUGACUAUGAAUUAUUAGUGGGAAGUUAAUUCUCUAAAGCUAUUUGAUUGAAUAGACACAAAAUAAUCUCGCAAGUUCGAAUCUUGCUCAGGCCA